rnacentral:lncRNA from 1 species
AGCCACCUUGAUGGGAACUCUUCCAGUAAUGCAUUUCUUAUACAGUGACCUUAUCACUUCUUGUAACUGAGUCUGAUUUUAGAGAAGUCUCAUUAGCAUUAACAGUUCUGUUAUAGUCAUACAUAUCCCUUCAUUCUUAUUUACCAAACUUCAUUUGCACAUCUUCCCACAUGGAAUAAUAGUAACAACAAUAAUAACAUGUAUAGACUGUGUCUGUAUGAAAGUAAACCAAUACUGGGGCCAAAAGUAAAACAAUGCAAAAGGCAAUGGGUGGUAGCAUCAUAAUGCCCACAUUUGUUCCACCAUCUUUUUCACCUUUGUGUCCUUAGGGUAGUUCCCAAACACUUGUUUGUGCUGUCCUCAGGGGAGUUUUCCAGACAGAGCCACCUGGUUUUCUGCCAAUGAGUCACAGAAGGUUCAGAGAUGAGAACUUCCUGAUUGGUUAUCAGUGAGUCAGGUUUACACCCUGCUUUAUCUUUAGCACUUAUCACACUUAUCAUUUUUCGCCAGCUGCAAAGAGAUAGACAAUGGGAGAAAUUCUCAGGGAUCAUGGAACCAUCAAAGGUGGAUCUGAGAACUUGGAUAAGAAAAAAAUUACAUCUUUAUUUUCACUAACCUCUAGCUGAAAAUUAGUAUUUCUUUUAAUUAUUACUGUUAUUUUUUUUAAAAACCCAUUUUCUGUUUUAGGAUCAAGUUAUUUAAUUCCAAUUACCUAACCCUUACCAUUCUUUUGCCUUGAAACCAAUAAUUAGUUUUAAUAUUAAAACACAGCUAAAAAUCUGAGGUCAAAUCUACACCCAGAACCUCCUGUCUCCAGGUCUGGCCCUCUAUCUUUUGAGUCACCUAGUUGCCCCAUUUCCUUUCAUUAUUAACGAAGGCAACAAAAUACAGCAAUAUGAGCAAUAUUUGUGAUCAUCACCAAUAGAAAUCAUAGAUAUUUUUCUAUCAUAUUACAGUUGUUGCACAUAUGUCAAAAUACUUAUGUUCAUCACUUUAUAU